AACAUUCAACUGAUUCGUGGACACAACAAAAACAAAAUUUUCAUACGAACUGAAAUUCAUUGAAAAUGGAGUUUGAAACUAAUCUAAUCGAACUAGAGGAAGCAAACGAGUGCCUCAGGUCGAACGAACAUUGUCUGUAUAAAACAGCCGCGUAAAAGAGGAGAUUUGGUUUGAUAUAGACUAUGCACUGGAACAAGAAGUGGAAAUGAUGGAAGGAUGGUGGAAGAGGCACUGAGAGAAAGAUAUUCGCGGAGUAAAUACGUUACCACAAGCACAUCCGCAAAUGGAGGACAGCCAAUAACUACGACCCCGAACGACCGGCUCUUUUGUAGAUAAUUUCGACCAAACUACUUGUGAGUUGAAUACCUUUCAUGGCUGCCGAAACCACGAAACUACGCGGAAAAGGAACAAACGGCAGCACAAAGCGGUUGAUCUCCCCAACGUGGAGUUCAUGGUGAAAACAAUGUAUGCAGCAAAACUUACCAGACAUUAUGUAUUCGCCUUUACCUUUACGAAUUGAUGGAGAAGAGGCUGAUGCUGAUGUUGCUAGACCGCUGAAGGCCAAGUUCUUGGACUGAUCAUAGUCCAAAAAUGAUCACAAUUAUUACAAUGAAAAUGC